rnacentral:rRNA from 1 species
CGCAUCUGUGCAUGCAGCAUAUCAAUAAGCGGAGGAAAAGGUACCUACGCUUAGGAUGUUGACACACGCGCGUGCUCGAUGAUAGUCUAUACAUGACUCUGUGCAUAUCAAUAAGCGGAGGAAAAGGGGCUAAUUACCUACGCUUAGGAUGUUGAUCACACGCGCGUGCUCGAUCUAUACAUGACUCUGCGCAUAUCAAUAAGCGGAGGAAAAGGCUGCAGAACUGAACGACCGCUACCUACGCUUAGGAUGUUGACACACGCGCGUGCUCGACUCUAUACAUGACUCUGCGCAUAUCAAUAAGCGGAGGAAAAGAAACUAACAAGGAUUCCCUUAGUAACGGCGAGUGAAGCGGGAAGAGCUCAAAUUUGAAAUCUUCAAGGUUUUACCUUGACGAAUUGUAGUUUAAAGAAGUGUUUUCUGUUGAAGUUUUGGUAAAAGUUCUUUGGAAUAGGACAUCAUAGAGGGUGAGAAUCCCGUAUUUGACCAUUAUUUUCAGCUGUGUGAUACACUUUCAAAGAGUCGGAUUGUUUGGGAAUGCAGUCCAAAAUGGGUGGUAAAUUUCAUCUAAAGCUAAAUAUUGGCGAGAGACCGAUAGUGAACAAGUACCGUGAGGGAAAGAUGAAAAGAACUUUGAAAAGAGAGUUAAACAGUACGUGAAAUUGUCAAAAGGGAAGCGUUUGACACCAGUGUUGUUUUCUCGAAAAUCAAUUAAAAAGAGUUUGAUUUUGUUGUGUAUUGACCUUAACAGCUUGCAUUUCAAUUUUCUUGCUUUUUUUAAUGCACUUUUCGUUUAACAAGUCAACAUCAGUUUCUUUUGUUGUAAAAAGGUCAUUGGAAGGUGGCUUUCUUUUCGGAGAAAGUGUUUAUAGCCUUUGACUCCUGCAAUCGGAGAGACUGAGGUCUGCAGCGUAGAUCCUUCGGGGUUAGAUACAUUUGUGCUAAGUUAUAGCUUUUAUAGACAACUUGUUGACUAUGAUUAGUCUUGUAGCUUACUCGCUUAUGCUAUUUUACCUACGCUUAGGAUGUUGACACACGCGCGUGCUCG